rnacentral:rRNA from 1 species
GACGAACGCUGGCGGCGUGCUUAACACAUGCAAGUCGAACGGAAAGGCCCUGCUUUUGUGGGGUGCUCGAGUGGCGAACGGGUGAGUAACACGUGAGUAACCUGCCCUUGACUUUGGGAUAACUUCAGGAAACUGGGGCUAAUACCGGAUCGGAGCUCCUGCUGCAUGGUGGGGGUUGGAAAGUUUGGGCUGUUGGGGAUGGACUCGCGGCUGAUCAGCUUGUUGGUGGGGUAGUGGCUUACCAAGGCUUUGACGGGUAGCCGGCCUGAGAGGGUGACCGGCCACAUUGGGACUGGGAUACGGCCCAGACUCCUACGGGAGGCAGCAGUGGGGAAUAUUGUACAAUGGGCGGGAGCCUGAUGCAGCAACGCCGCGUGCGGGAUGACGGCCUUCGGGUUGUAAAACGCUUUCGCCUGUGACGAAGCGUGAGUGACGGUAAUGGGUAAAGAAGCACCGGCUAACUACGUG